rnacentral:rRNA from 1 species
AACGAACGCUGGCGGCAUGCCUAACACAUGCAAGUCGAACGAGACCUUCGGGUCUAGUGGCGCACGGGUGCGUAACGCGUGGGAACCUGCCCUUAGGUUCGGAAUAACUCCCCGAAAGGGGUGCUAAUACCGGAUAAUGUCUUCGGACCAAAGAUUUAUCGCCUUUGGAUGGGCCCGCGUUGGAUUAGCUAGUUGGUAGGGUAAAAGCCUACCAAGGCGACGAUCCAUAGCUGGUCUGAGAGGAUGAUCAGCCACACUGGGACUGAGACACGGCCCAGACUCCUACGGGAGGCAGCAGUGGGGAAUAUUGGACAAUGGGCGAAAGCCUGAUCCAGCAAUGCCGCGUGAGUGAUGAAGGCCGUAGGGUUGUAAAACUCUUUUACCCGGGAGGAUAAUGACAGUACCGGGAGAAUAAGCUCCGGCUAACUCCGUG